ACGCACGCUGGCGGCGUGCUUAACACAUGCCAGUCGCACGCUGAAGCUCAGCUUGCUGGGUGGAUGAGUGGCGAACGGGUGAGUAACACGUGAGUAACCUGCCCUCUUCUUUGGGAUAACGCCCGGAAACGGGUGCUAAUACUGGAUAUUCACUGAUUCUCGCAUGGGGGUUGGUGGAAAGGUUUUUUCUGGUGGGGGAUGGGCUCGCGGCCUAUCAGCUUGUUGGUGGGGUGAUGGCCUACCAAGGCUUUGACGGGUAGCCGGCCUGAGAGGGUGACCGGUCACAUUGGGACUGAGAUACGGCCCAGACUCCUACGGGAGGCAGCAGUGGGGAAUAUUGCACAAUGGGCGAAAGCCUGAUGCAGCGACGCCGCGUGAGGGAUGGAGGCCUUCGGGUUGUAAACCUCUUUCGCUCAUGGUCAAGCCGCAGCUUUGGGUUGUGGUGAGGGUAGUGGGUAAAGAAGCGCCGGCUAACUACGUG
rnacentral:rRNA from 1 species